GUGUCCGCUGUUAUCUCUGGCGUUUCGGAUGCCGCUGCCGCCACUGACUCUGUUAUGUCCCGCGAUGAUGCCGUAAAUCGACUCAAUUCACUUGUUCCAGGUUGCAGGGGGCUUAAACGGGAGUACUUAGAGUUAGAGUAACUUAAUUAUGAUUUUUCUGUUCUACUGUAUUAAGUUUGGAUAAAGGAACCGAAACUUCGAUCACACACAAAACAGACACACACACACACACACUCAAAUCGAAGGUACUGAGUAGCUCAAUCAUAUUUUCUUACAGUAUAAGAUUGGACGAAUGAAGCGAAACUUCUUCUCAAAAAACAAAUAGACACACGUGUGUGUAUCAUAUUAAUAUUACCGUAUAAGAGUGGAUAUUGGAUCAAGGAAGCAACUUUUCUCUGUGUAUUGUGUGUGUGUAUCAUAUUAACAGCAAUAACAUACCCACUAUAGUCACACAAGCGGGGUCUGGGGAGGGUAGAGUGUUGCGGUAGACCCUUGGUUCAGGAAAAUUUUCAUAUGGUUGUGUUACCAUAAUAGGCAGCUCCCACUAGCUGUGUGUAUCAUAUUAUAUUACUGUAUAAAAUUGGAGAUUGGAUUGGGUGUGUUAGCAAUUAAAAAAAAGAUUGGAGAUUGGAUGAAGAAAGCAAAACUUUUCUCUAUGUAUUGUGUGUUUGUGUAUAUGUGUGUCUGUAUCAUAUUAUAUUACUGUACAAGAGUGGAUAUUGGAUCAAAGAAGCAAAACUUAUCUCUAGGUACUUUUUUUUUUUUUGUGUGUGUGUGUGUGUCUGUUAGAGAGUGUGUGUGAAUUUCAGUUCUUAAUUGGAUGUUGAGAUGUAUCACAUAUGCUCAUUCAGUUUUCAGCUAGUAUUCAAAAGUGAUUAAUCUGUUUGUAAGGUUAAUAACAGUCAAAUAUGAAAUUCUUGGUUUUGUAUUGUGAGAACAAUCAUUUUAUUGUAUAAGAUUGGAUAAAGCAAGAGAAACAUCUAUAUGUGUGUCUAAUUUCUCUAUUUUUUGCUGAAUAUUGGAUCCUGAAAUGUAUCCCAAUUUGCUCAUUUAGUUUAUCGGCUAGUCUAAUAUGUUUGAAAAGCUAAAUUCAACUCAACACAAAGCUUUGAAAAGCUUCAGUCAUCCUUUGAUCAGUUGAAAAUGAGGUAACAUAUGGUUUUAUAUUGUGUCAACAAUCAGUUGGAAGAGGGGAGUCGAAUAGAGAACCUGCAAGCGCAAAGAUGCAGAGCACGGCUAGAUCAUCUAGAAUCUGCUGAUCCAGAAAAUUUAUCAGAUUGGAAUGAUACCCGUUUGAAGCGGAUACUGGUAGAUUACAUGUUGCGGAU
rnacentral:lncRNA from 1 species